GAUGGACGCUGGCGGCGUGCCUAAUACAUGCAAGUCGAGCGAAUGGAUUAAGAGCUUGCUCUUAUGAAGUUAGCGGCGGACGGGUGAGUAACACGUGGGUAACCUGCCCAUAAGACUGGGAUAACUCCGGGAAACCGGGGCUAAUACCGGAUAACAUUUUGAACCGCAUGGUUCGAAAUUGAAAGGCGGCUUCGGCUGUCACUUAUGGAUGGACCCGCGUCGCAUUAGCUAGUUGGUGAGGUAACGGCUCACCAAGGCAACGAUGCGUAGCCGACCUGAGAGGGUGGUCGGCCACACUGGGACGGAGACACGGCCCCGACUCCUACGGGAGGCAGCAGUAGGGAAUCUUCCGCAAUGGACGAAAGUCUGACGGGGCAACGCCGCGUGAGUGAUGAAGGCUUUCGGGUCGUAAAACUCUGUUGUUAGGGAAGAACAAGUGCUAGUUGAAUAAGCUGGCACCUUGACGGUACCUAACCAGAAAGCCACGGCUAACUACGUGCCAGCCGCCGCCGUAA
rnacentral:rRNA from 1 species